rnacentral:rRNA from 1 species
AUGUGCUGGAACGUGCGCGGGUUAAACUCGCCGGCGAAGAGAGAGGCUGUGCGAGAGGUAGUUGCGGUGCACAGCACUGCCAUUCCCUGUCUCCAGGAAACUAAGAUAGAUGCUUGGACGCCUGCGCUUGUUCGUGACAUUGGCGGCAGCACCCUGCAGGGCUGCACUGUUCUGCCGGCCAUCGGCACCCGCGGCGGAGCUGCCAUUCUGUGG